rnacentral:rRNA from 1 species
CAGCCGCCACGGUAAAACGGAGGGGGCUAGCGUUGUUCGGAAUUACUGGGCGUAAAGCGCACGUAGGCGGCUUGGUAAGUUAGAGGUGAAAGCCCGGAGCUCAACUCCGGAAUUGCCUUUAAGACUGCCGAGCUAGUAGGUGAGAGAGGUAAGUGGAAUUCCGAGUGUAGAGGUGAAAUUCGUAGAUAUUCGGAAGAACACCAGUGGCGAAGGCGGCUUACUGGCUCAUUCUAGACGCUGAGGUGCGAAAGCGUGGGGAGCAAACAGGAUUAGAUACCCCCGUAGUCCCUGUCUCUUAUAC